rnacentral:rRNA from 1 species
CCUACGGUGUGCAGCAGUGAGGAAUAUUGGUCAAUGGACGAGAGUCUGAACCAGCCAAGUAGCGUGAAGGAUGACUGCCCUAUGGGUUGUAAACUUCUUUUAUAAGGGAAUAAAACGAGUCACGUGUGCCUUUUUGCAUGUACUUUAUGAAUAAGGAUCGGCUAACUCCGUGCCAGCAGCCGCGGUAAUACGGAGGAUGCGAGCGUUAUCCGGAUUUAUUGGGUUUAAAGGGUGCGUAGGCGGGCUGUUAAGUCAGCGGGAAAAGCCCGGGGCUCAACCUCGGCGAGCCGUGGAAACUGGCUGUCUUGAGAGGGCGAGAGGUAUGCGGAAUGCGCGGUGUAGCGGUGAAAUGCUUAGAUAUUGCGAAGAACUCCGAUUGCGAAGGCAGCAUACCGGCG